UGGAGAGUAGUCCCAGCCUGGGUCAGCAGGAGGGCAGAUAUGGGCUGGUGAAGCAAUUCUUUCACCCCUUCUUCUGCACGCCGUGCUCCAUUUGGGACUCCCCAGUACAAGAAAGAUCCCAUACUGGAGUGAGGCUGGUAAAGGCUGCUGAACUGGUCAGGACUAGAGCUAGGCUUACUUGGGCUGAAGAAGAGCAGAAAUCAGACUUUAUCUGCCCUGAACUCUGAGUCAUGGCAGGACUCAUUUCUUCUCCUUUUGCACUCUCCAGGCCAGCAUGGGCAUUGGGGUGAUGCCUCCUAUGGAGACAUCUUGCAGGCAGCUGCUGGAUGACCAGACUGUGCAUUUCCUCAUGCCACUGUGAUCUUGGGACCACCUGGUUUUACUGCCCUGGUGAACACAUCCCUAUAAAUUAUGGAAACUACCCAGGAGGAAGCAACUCUGCAAGGAGUAGUACCUGACUGGUGCAUAUCACUGUACUCCAGGUGAAGGUCAGCCAUCAGGAAUGGUGACUGCAGAAGCCCGAAAGUUUUGUGAGCAGCAGGAGCCCCAGGAAACCCAGCAGGCAGGGGAGUGGAUCUGGCCUAGAAAGCUACCAAGUUGUGAAAUACAAAGUUGUGUUUCAUGUCAGGUAAAUAAAGGUAACCUGUGUAAUUUUAAUUGUGAAAUGUGUGGAACACGGCCAUGGGACAGUUAUAAAGAUGAGUUCUAAUAAACAACCGAGGAAAGUGUGGAAGAAGACUUUUGGACCAAUGUUUUGUUUGCAAUUAAUGAUUAUAAGUCUUAGCUGUUUUGUAGUAAGAGUAUUUGAAUUAUAACUUUAGAAUGUUGCCUUUUGAUAAGAACUUUUUUCUUGUAAUGAAGUCUUAAGCUGUUUUGUAAUAAGAGUAUUUGAAUUAUAACUUUAGAAUGUUGCUUUGUAUUAAGGAUUUUAAACUGUAGCUUUAGAAUGCAUAAAGGAUUUAAACAAAAGAGGGAAAUUAACCUAUUCCCAAGCUCCUAGCAAAACAGUGAAAAUAUCCUGGAAAAGGAAGAUGGACAUCAACGUCGCUGAUUAGUGAUUUUGAAAAGGGAAGCUGGACAUCACUAUCCCAGAAUAAUGGUCCUAGAAGCUGGACCCCACAUCAGGAAGAUGGACCCCACUAUCUGGGACACACAUCAUGGAAUAUACAUCCUAGGAUGCUGAAAACUAGAAUAGAUCACAAUAUAGUAUAGAAAUUGGAAAUGAACCAAUCUAUGAUCUAUCACCAUCAUAGAUUUAUGAUCCUGAAGUAUAGAAUUGUGACAUCAAAAAUUUGAAAUAGAAACUGCUGAGAAAAGCUUAUGAAUAUGCAUGAACAUGAUCAACAUGAUCAAUAAAUACCAGCCAGCCCAGCAAUCAGUGUGCAGUUGGAGGGGAAAACUCCCACCACUGUACCCAGCACUGUCUUUGCUCAUAUGUCACCAUAUUAAUAAAUAAAUUGAAUUGCUGCUUGAUCUA